GACGAACGCUGGCGGCGUGCCUAAUACAUGCAAGUAGAACGCACAGUUUAUACCGUAGCUUGCUACACCAUAAACUGUGAGUUGCGAACGGGUGAGUAACGCGUAGGUAACCUGCCUGGUAGCGGGGGAUAACUAUUGGAAACGAUAGCUAAUACCGCAUAAUAUUGAUUAUUGCAUGAUAAUUGAUUGAAAGAUGCUAUUGCAUCACUACCAGAUGGACCUGCGUUGUAUUAGCUAGUAGGUGAGGUAACGGCUCACCUAGGCGACGAUACAUAGCCGACCUGAGAGGGGGAUCGGCCACACUGGGGCUGAGACACGGCCCAGACUCCUACGGGAGGCAGCAGUAGGGAAUCUUCGGCAAUGGACGAAAGUCUGAUCGAGCAACGCCGCGUGAGUGAAGAAGGUUUUCGGAUCGUAAAGCUCUGUUGUAAGAGGAGAACGGGUGUGAGAGUGGAAAGUUCACACUGUGACGGUAUCUUACCAGAAAGGGACGGCUAACUACGUG
rnacentral:rRNA from 1 species